CAAAAGCUUUCACCUUCAAGAAUUCACACGAUCUCAUUUUUUAAGGCAUGUUGAUGUACUAAUUUCUGCUAUAAUACUUCUUAGCUUGCUUAUUAUUAUUGACCACUUUGAACACAGUCUAAAGCAUCUUUCCUCUACCUGGUGCUUUCCAGAUGUUUUGGAGUGCAGUUCCCAUCAGCACUAGCUCCACAAGCACUACCUUAUUCCAACUCUUUACACCAAACCUAUCAUGUCGGUGAGUAUGCUGUAAUCUUACAAGCAUAUGGGAGUAAGGCCUGUUGACCACAGAGGGACUUACUUCUCAGCAAACAUGCAUAUAGCAUUGUUCGGUAUAAUUAUCAACGUUGUGGUGUAGGCGAGUGGGGAAGCUGAUGCAGUGUGUCUUGUCUAAAGAAGCCUGGUAAUUUCAUUGCAAAAGGGACACAUGGAUCAGGGACAUCCUGGUUAACACUGCAGUUUCUCAACCACUGUAGUACUCUACUAAUAGAAAGGUUAGUGGAAGGUAGGUUUUUGCAUAUGAAGCACUGUGUUGGGAUAAUGCAAAACCUGAAAGAGUGGGAAAAGAUGGUCAGUAAGGGAAUUAUGAGUAUUGAGUUCCAGGGUGGAACAACAGUGGAGUGAGUGAAUGUAAGAACUGUUUUAACAAUGGUGUCAUGUGUGGGACGCGGGUAGCGCUGUGGGUUAAACCACAGAGCCUAGGACUUGCCGAUCAGAAGGUCGGCGGUUCGAAUCCCCGCGACGGGGUGAGCUCUCGUUGCUCGGUCCCUGCUCCUGCCAACCUAGCAGUUUGAAAGCACAUCAAAGUGCAAGUAGAUAAAUAGGUACUGCUCUGGUGGGAAGGUAAACAGCAUUUCCAUGCGCUGCUCUGGUUUGCCAGAAGCGGCUUAGUCAUGCUGGCCACAUGACCUGGAAGCUGUACACCGGCUCCCUCGGCCAAUAAAGCGAGAUGAGCGCCGCAACCCCAGAAUCGGUCACGACUGGCCCCUAACACCUUUACCAUGUGUUCUAGGCUGGAAACACCCACCAGAAUUCUCUCUGGGCAGUUGGAAACCUUGGAAAGGUUGGGUUAUUGGUGGUAUGGGAGAGCUUUGUGUAUGUACAGUCUAUACAUUUAUGUACGCAUGUAAAAAUAAGGUGCUGGUACUCAUAUAUUAAUAAAUCCUCCCCGCUACCAUUCAUCACACACACCACAAAUACAACUCGCCCUCUCUUGAACAAAUCACCUACAUACCUCUCUCAGUUUUUGCCUCUUACUUCCCCUACAAAUUGAGCGACUCCUUCAGAAAAUUUCCUCCAUUUCCACCUGACUGGCGGGCAACAGCAGGCUGAGUUUGCUGGAAAUACCUCACUGGUCCUUCCUUCCCUCCCCAACCUUUUUUAAUUUUACACAAGCCCUAGCACAGGGUGAAGAAGUUGCCUGCUGCUGGAUGGUGAGCAUGUGGGGAUAUCUUGCCACUUGUGUUUAAUAAGUGUGGAGUGGAGCUUUCAGAAAGAGUUUUGAAUCCAUGCAUUAGAAUAGUAUUAGAAUAUCAGAGCAAUGCCAUGGCAGCAACUGCUGGCAGAGAAGAUCUCUUCACUGAUAUCUUACUUCCAACACAUCAAAAUUUUCCAGUUCAUGUCCAUGUAAAAAACUAUUUCUACAGAAGCGAGAAUAUGGUAGCAACGAAACCGUCAGCACAUUAUAGUAAGAUUUGAAAGUGUUUCCAUGUCAUGAACUGCUUGCAGCUGGGCUGCUUGAGAGAGCAUGGGUCCGAUUGUCCCAGUUUGGAGGACACAUCCCCCCAAAGCAACUGGUUUGAUACCCUUUCACAAAAUGGUCUACAUUUUUGCAAAGCAGUUUCACCUCAUGUAAUGUGUUUUUCAUUGUUAUUUUCAUACAUGCAUUUCUAUGCACACUUUACCCUAAUAUAUGCCUUUUUGUACACAUUGCCUGGCUGGAGAAGUGCAUUGCAAAAUUAAAGUAAGUGCACGUUUCAGAGGAAGGCUACAUAUUGUUUCAGAAAGCGCAGGUUAGGUAGCUUCAAUUUUUAAUGUGAAUUGAAUCAAAUGUCUGUCCCAUCUGUACCUUUUGCAGCAUAAACUACCUUUCUAGUUUAAAGUCAUAUGUGUGAGAGCUGACAGCAGGACCGUAUGACUGGCCUCUAAAAUGUAUGGAAAUAUUUCUCUGGAACCAAAGCACCAGCUGCCCUCAGCCCAAAAUGCCCUGUCUCUCAUUUCCUAUAAACAUGUGAGAGGGAUUUCGUUUACUGAAGCUGGCCAGCAGCCCACAAACACUGCAAUAUUAUCUUCAGGAACCUUUCCUUUGCCGCCUAAUAAAUCCUUCACAGAUUUCUUCCAUUUGCCUGGCAAGUUAGAGUUCACAUCUUUGGUUUGUGAGGGUUUCUGGCCCUUCCCUAAUUUCAGGAAAUCUGGUUCUCUAGUAGAUUUCUCAACACAUCUGUUCAUCUUCUGGGUGCAUUUCAUGGGGGUGAACUAAUUUUCUUUCUUUCUUUCUUUCUUUCUUUCUUUCUUUCUUUCUUUCUUUCUUUCUGUGUUUUAUUUCAUUCGAACACUUCCCCUGAAACUGGCAAGUCAUUAAGAAUUUAUAUCUUGUAUUGUGAGGAAUCGACAAGUGGAUUUAUGGAGGUUUGCUGGUGAGAGAGAUUUUGAAAAGGAACAUCACAUAAAAUUACCUGUGUUCACUCAGAAGAUUUAAUAAUCCUCAUUAGGAAGUGAGAAAACUGCAGGAGGCCUUUGUAAACUUCACCAAAGGAAUUCUCUUUGCUGAGUCGUCAUUCAUAGGCCUAUCCAACAAGGCAUACAUGGGCAAGAGGCAGAUCAUGACAGGCCCUGGCCUAGGCUGCAAACAGAGGGACCAUCUCUAGGGGAUCAAAAGAUCAGACAUAUGGCAGGAAGUGUCAGUGGGAGGGGGAGUGAAGAAGGCCCCACUCUCACCAGAACUUCUAUUUUGCAUGGAGAACCCAAGAAGCUGAAAACUAAUUUUAGAAAAUCUUCAGUUUAUACACUCUUCCUCUUCCAGAUAAAGGCAGUGCUGGUAUCAGCACUUGUAUUCUUGGGUCGAUCCUGGGGAAUAAUGGUGUAAUCCUAACCCUGGCUACUAACAAACAGGUGGGGUAUAACGAAGGUGGUGGUGGGUGGAGAAGCAAAUUCCUAUUGUAGCUUGGAAUUGGCAAAGUGAUCAGGCCCAAAUUGGGCCCAGUGCCAUUACAUGAUGACAGCAAGGGUGCCUUGGGAACCGAUGGAUCUCCGCUGGCUGAGAAGAAUAACACGAUGAUGAUGAUGAUAAUUUAUGUAUUUAUUUAUACACCGCCCAUCUGGCUGGGUUUGCCCAACCACUCUGGGUGGCUUCCAACUGAAUAUUAAAAACAAUACAACAUCAGACAUUAAAAACUUCCCUAAACAGGGCCGCCUUCAGUUGUCUUCUAAAAGUAAAAUAGUUGUUUAUUGCCUUGACAUCUGCUGGGAGGGCAUUCCACAGGGCAGGUGCCACUACCGAGAAGGCCCUCUGCCUGUUUCCCUGCAACCUCAAUCCUCGCAGUGAGGAAACCGCCAGCAGGCCCUCGGCGCUGGACCUCAGUGACCGGGCUGGAUGAUGGGGGUGGAGACGUUCUUUCAGGUAUACAGGACUGAGGCCGUUUAGGGCUUUAAAGGUCAGCACCAAGACUUUGAAUUGUGCUCGGAAAUGUACUGGGAGCCAAAGAAGAUCUUUCAGAACCAGUGUUAUAUGGUCUUGGUGGCCACUCCCCGUCACCAGUCUAGCUGCCGCAUUCUGGAUUAAUUGCAGUUUCCGAGUCACCUUCAAAGGUAGCCCCACAUAGAGCGCAUUGCAGUAGUCCAAACAGGAGAUAACUAGAGCAUGCACCACUCUGGCAAGACAGUCUGUGGUCAGGUAAGGUCUCAGCCUGCAUACCAGAUGGAGCUGGUAAACAGCUGCCCUGGACACAGAAUUAACCUGUGCCUCCAAGGACAGCUGUGAGUCCAAAAUGACUCCCAGGCUGCGCACCUGGUCCUUCAGGAGCACAGUUAUCCCAUUCAGGAUCAGGGAGUCCUCCACACCAGCCUGCCCCCUAUCCCCCAAGAACAGUGCUUCUGUCUUGUCAGGAUUCAACCUCAAUCCAUUAGCUGCCAUCCAUCCUCCAACCGCCUCCAGACACACAGGACCUUCACCGCCUUCACUGGUUCUGAUUUAAAAGAGAGGUAGAGCUGGGUAUCAUCCGCAUAUUGAUGAGCACCCAACCCAAACCCCCUGUUGAUCUCUCCCAGUGGCUUCGUGUAGAUGGGGGAGAGGAUGGAACCCUGAGGCACCCUAUAAAUAAGAGCCCAGGGGUCUGAACACUCAUCCCCCCCCCACUUUCUGGACACGGCCCAGGAGAAAGGAGCAAAACCACUGUAUAACAGUGCCCCCAGCUCCCAGCCCCUCAAGACGGUCCAGAAGGCUGUUAUGGUUGAUGGUAUCAAAAGCCGCUGAGAGAUCCAGCAGAACUAGGAAACAGCUCUCACCUUUGUCCCUAGCCCGCCGGAGAUCAUUGACCAGUGCGACCAAGGGAGUUUCAGUUCCAUGGUGAGGCCUGAAACCUGACUGGGAGGGAUCCAAAUGGUCCGCACACUCCAGGCGUGCUUAGAGUUGUUCAGCAACCACUCGCUCAAUCACCUUGUCCAAGAAUGGAAGAUUUGAGACUGGGCGAUAGUUGGCCAUAUUGGCCGGGUCUAAAGAUGUUUUUUUAAGAAGCGGUUUAAUGACCGCCUCUUUCAGUGGGCCUGGGAAGGCUCCCUCAGAGGGAAGCAUUCACUACCCCCGAAGAAGAAGAAGAAGAGGAAGAGGAGGAGUUUGGACUUGAUAUCCUGCCUUUCACUCCCCUUAAGGAGUCUCAAAGCGGCUAACAAUAUCCUUUCCCUCCCUCCCCCACAACAAACAUUCUGUGAGGUGAGUGAGGCUGAGAGACUUCGGAGAAGUGUGACUAGCCCAAGGUCACCCAGCAGCUGAUUGUGGAGGAGCGGGGAAGCGAACCCGGUCCCCCAGAUUACAAGUCCACCGCUCUUAACCACUACACCAUACUGGAAGAGAUUGAUCAGGCAAGGAACAGGCCAGUAGAUUCCUCACUAUCCCCCACCCCGCUGUCUCCUAGAUCCAGAAGGGGGUUGAAGAGGGAAGGGCAGGGACUGUUUUUGUGAUGGGUGUUUGGAAUAUUUGGUUGGGAUAUCAACUGAAAUAUGUAGCAUGAACCCCAAAAUGUGGGUGCUUUUGACAACAACAACAACAACCGAGCAAUGUUAGCAAUAGUUGGCCACUCUAAGAACAGAUUCCUGGGCUAGAUAGACCUUUGGUCUGAUCUAGAAAGGGUUUUCCUGAGUUUCAUCUUCUACAAAGACUCUUCUUUAAGUAGCUCACGACUUCAUUUCUUAUAAAUCUGUGAUCAAUGGAUUAUUAUUAUUUUUGACAUUGUUGCUGUGAUUAACUGGAGCAUUCAGUCCAAGCAAAGAAGCAUUUGUUAACAUCCUUUGGCAGUUUGACUUUUCUUCAUAUAAUAAAGAAAAAGAUACGCUGCUAUGUUUAUUUAACCUGAACCUUUAAAAAGAAACUAUAUCUACUUAAAGUCCUAAAGUGGGGCUUUAAGUCUAAUCGUUGUCAUUCGCGUAUUCACUCACUGGAGAUAAUUUGGCCAUUUUCAUUCAUUAUUUAUAGUAGAACAAUUGUGUGGGUGGGCGGGGGGCGGGAUGGGACGGGACACAAACACUCAGGAAAAGAGCAAACAUUUGGAAGUAUUUACAGGUCUUCGUGCAGAACUGAAACUACGAAAUAGCAGUGCUCAGAGAAUUGGUUCCAGGUGCAAAUUAAGAACAAAAAGACUAAUAAUUUUAUAAGCAUCAGGGCAUAUAUAUUUCUCCUUUUAGAAUAUAUGUAAACAUUUAAAAUAUAUUCUAUCACUUAUAACCAUUUCAAAACACACAAACAAAAAUAUGAGGUAAAUAUUAAGGGAGGAAAUAUUUAACUCAAAUAUAUAUAUGUGUGUGUGUGUGUGUGUGUGUAUAUAUAUAUAUAUUGCUAAGCAGAUUACUCCAUCAAUGCAAGGAUUUCUGCUUGCCUGAUGCAACAAUAUUCCCUCUCUUCCUUCAAGGCAAGAAAGUUUCUCAUCUCUUCCACCUCAGCAGUCACCUGCACCUCCUACAAACCAUCUCAUGAGUACCAUGUAGUGUUGCCAUGUGUCCUCUUUUUCCUGGGUAGAGUUGUCAUAGCGAUCCAUAGUUAAAAGUAGAAGUCGGCAAAUGUGUCCUCUUUUUUGCUUUUCAAAAUAUGGCAACCCUAAUUAGGACAUAGGGUGCUACCUUAUAUUGAGGCCAUUGAUCCCUCUAGCUCCAUAUUGCCUGCAUUGACUGAAAUUAGCUCUCCUGGGUUUCAGAUGGAGCAUUCCCAGCCCUACCUUGAAGUGAUGGAAAUUGAACCUCUAACCUUCUGCAUGCAAAACAGAUGCUCCACCACUGAGGUAUGGCUUUUACUCAGAUGGAGGCAGAGGGAAGUGAGGUAUGGGAGACGUUCCUUCCAUGUUUUGCCUUAAGUUAACAUCUUAGGAUCUGAGCCAGUAUCUUUAUUGAUAUUUUCUGACAGCUUCCUUCCUUCCUGGUGUAUGCACCGUGUAUGUUAGAAAUUGACCCCAGUGUCUUGCAGUUUUGGCAAGAUCUAUUACUAUUACUGUUACUAUUAUUAUUAUUCUAUUUAUAUCCUGCCACUUAUGGCAAAGCACUUCCAGGUGGACUUGCAGCAUAAAAUAAACACAGAAGAGGUACAUUUAUCUAAUUAUUAUAUUUAUGAGGCACCCCAUAAAAUAAAUUAUCCAGGCAUAAUAAAGAAUAAAAAGAAUAAAAUAUAAAAACAUGCUGCAAUAAAACCAGACUAUAAUACACUGCACACUACACCAAAACCACAAUAAGGUUAAAGACAAGCAGCCUGAAAAACCAAAUACAAAAUCAGCCCCCAAAGAAGCACAUACAGCAGCAUAGAACCAAACUGCCAACCAUGCUGCGGGGUCUUAAAAUCAGAACUGAGAGAAAAGAAAAGUCCUCAUCUGAAAAAGAUCACAAUGUGGGCACCAGGCACGAUUUGCUAGGAAGAACAUGUCACAGCUAGGGGGCUACAACAAAAAAAGCCCUGCCAUCCUCCAAACAGUAGUUAUAAAAAUGUUAAUGUUUUGCAUGUUUCUUCUUCUCCCCCCCCCCAAUAGUUUAAUGUACUUAUAUUUUUAAUGCAAGUUGCUUGGAGACCUUAAGUAACAAGCUAAUAAUAAUAAUAAUAAUAAUAAUAGGAGGGUGCACACUGAAAAGGGUGCCUGUUGAUGACCUGAAGGUAUGCCUAGGUGAAUAUAGGAGGAAGUAUUCUGUUAGGUACUGAGGUCCCAAUCUGUGCAGGGUUGCCAGUAGUGUGGAAGAGAGAAAAGCAGUCGCAACGUGUGACCAAAGGUGCAGACACUCAGCCAAAUUCACUCUUUAAAAUAUCAGAUCAAACAGCAACAACACCACUAUAAAAGGUAAGUGUGGAAAGGUCUGUGGCCUCUGUCCAGGCAGCUCCCGCAAGCACCUGUGUGAUGUGAAGUCGUUGAAGGCAGAGGAAAUCUUUCAAUCCUAUUUAGAGAGUGAAAUUGUUAAGCGUUGACAAUGUGCAUCAUGCAUGCCACCUCACACCUUUCACAGCUGUAUGACAGGCAAACAUGUAAAGUGCUUCUCCAUCAAA
rnacentral:lncRNA from 1 species